CGCAUCUGUGCAUGCAGCAUAUCAAUAAGCGGAGGAAAAGAAACUAACAAGGAUUCCCCUAGUAACGGCGAGUGAAGCGGGAAGAGCUCAAAUUUGAAAUCUUAAAGGGUUUCCCUUUACGAAUUGUAGUUUAAAGAAGUGUUUUCUGUUGAGGUUUUGGUAAAAGUUCUUUGGAAUAGGACAUCAUAGAGGGUGAGAAUCCCGUAUUUGACCUUUACUUUCAACUUUGUGAUACACUUUCAAAGAGUCGGAUUGUUUGGGAAUGCAGUCCAAAAUGGGUGGUAAAUUUCAUCUAAAGCUAAAUAUUGGCGAGAGACCGAUAGCGAACAAGUACCGUGAGGGAAAGAUGAAAAGAACUUUGAAAAGAGAGUUAAACAGUACGUGAAAUUGUCAAAAGGGAAGCGUUUGACACCAGUGUUGUUUUUCUGAAAAUCAAUUAAAGAACUGUUUAUGCUAAGUUGUUUAGACUUUAUCAGCUGAUCUGUUUAGUUUUGAGCUUUUCUUUAAUGCACUUUUCAGUUAACAAGUCAACAUCAAUUUCUUUUGCUGUAAAAAAGCUUGAGGAAGGUGGCUUGAGAUUCGUCUUAAGUGUUUAUAGCCUCUUGCCUAUGCAGUCGGAGAGAUUGAGGUCUGCAGCGUAGAUCCUUCGGGGCUAAAUGCAUUUGUGCUAAGUUAUAGCAUUUUAUAGACAACUUGUUGACUAUGAUUUGUCUUGUAGCUUACUCGCUUAUGUUAUUUUACCUACGCUUAGGAUGUUGAACGCGCACAGAGUCUC
rnacentral:rRNA from 1 species